CUGUUGAUUAAAAAAUACUCCAUUCCAAGACCUUUUGUUUUCCAAAUAAUUAAUAUUACCAAUAACUGAUAAGUUCCAGUUCAACAGGUUCAAACAGAAAGACUUGAAAGCAGAGAAAAACUGUGUAGUAUCUUAUAAUCGACAUGACUUUAUCAGAUGACAAUACUAAUACUAAAAUAAGGCUUGCGAAUAGUUAUAUACUUUAAUUCAGUCACGGACCCGUGAUAUCA
rnacentral:lncRNA from 1 species